AUUGAACGCUAGCGGCAUGCCUUACACAUGCAAGUCGAGCGAGCGGCGGACGGGUGAGUAAUGUAUCGGGAUCUGCCCGAUAGAGGGGGAUAACUACUGGAAACGGUGGCUAAUACCGCAUACUAUCGGAUGACCCCAUAUGGGAUUAGCUAGUAGGUGGGGUAAAGGCUCACCUAGGCAACGAUCUGUAGCUGGUCUGAGAGGAUGACCAGCCACACUGGGACUGAGACACGGCCCAGACUCCUACGGGAGGCAGCAGUGGGGAAUAUUGGACAAUGGGCGAAAGCCUGAUGCAGCCAUGCCGCGUGUAUGAAGAAGGCCUUCGGGUUGUAAAGUACUUUCAGCGGGGAGGCGGUACCCGCAGAAUAAGCACCGGCUAACUACGUGCCAGCCGCCGCGGUAAUAC
rnacentral:rRNA from 1 species